UAUGUUUUGGCCCUGUACCAACACACUCACAACUCGGGCACUUUAAAUUUAAAUCGCAAUCUUUACCUCAAGAACAUAUUCCAUUGAAAGUUUGACCGUCUAAUAUCCAGGUUAAAAUAGUACAAAUUUCUUGUUUUAAGUGUAUUAAAUUAAACAAAAAUGCCUUUAGCCCUAAAAUACGACCCUGUAUUCGGUAGAGACUACUCUUAUCUCGACGAGUACCGAUACACACCUGAUUAUAGAGUACGAAAACCACUCGACUAUUAUUUUAAUUGGCCAUGGAGCUAUCGCUAUUGGUUCCAAAACCAGAGAGACCGCAGGCAAUUGUAUAAGCUUCUUCGUCUGAGGGAACUCACAUACAUUGCCCAAUAAGCCAACGAAAUAAAGUCUCAAGAAAUUUGAUUAAAUUAUUAUUAAUGCAAUAUAAAUAAAAUAUAUUUUUGUUAUUUUUCUCUAAUAAAUGAAAUAAUAAUAAUUAAUGUUG